rnacentral:rRNA from 1 species
AGACAACCAGGAUGUUGGCUUAGAAGCAGCCACUCAUUAAAAGAGUGCGUAAUAGCUCACUGGUCGAGUGACUCUGCGCCGAAAAUUUAACGGGGCUAAACUAUACACCGAAGCUUGGGAUACAUCUAAUGUAUGGUAGGAGAGCGUUCUGUAUGGGGAGAAGUCGUAGCGAAAGCGGCGGUGGACUAUACAGAAGUGAGAAUGCCGGAAUAAGUAGCGAGAAUUAAGUGAGAAUCUUAAUGGCCGAAAGUCUAAGGUUUUUGGAGGAAGGUUCGUCCGCUCCAAGUAAGUCGGGAGCUAAGGCGAGGCCGAAAGGCGUAGUCGAUGCACAUACGGUAGAUAUUCCGUAACCGCCGAAGGAUUAAAGCAAAGGGACACCUGCGAAGCGUGUAACCCGGGCGAUGGUUGCCCCGGGCGUAAGGGACCGAAAUUUAGUAGGGAAGUACAUGUAGAGCAGGGCGAGAAAAGCUUUGUGUAUAUCCAAGGCGCCCGUACCGCAAACCGACACAGGUAGAUAGGAAGAGAAUUCUAAGGCCAACGGGAGAAGGGUAGUUAAGGAACUCGGCAAAUUGACCCCGUAACUUCGGAAUAAGGGGUGCUCACGAGAGUGAGCCGCAGUGAAUAGGUCCAGGCGACUGUUUAUCAAAAACACAGCUCUCUGCUAAAUCGAAAGAUGACGUAUAGGGGGUGACACCUGCCCGGUGCUGGAAGGUUAAGAGGAAGGGUGCAAGCUCUGAAUUGAAGCCCCAGUAAACGGCGGCCGUAACUAUAACGGUCCUAAGGUAGCGAAAUUCCUUGUCGGGUAAGUUCCGACCCGCACGAAUGGUGUAACGAUCUGGACACUGUCUCAACUACCCACCCGGCGAAAUUGUAGUACCGGUGAAGAUGCCGGUUACCCGCGGCAAGACGGAAAGACCCCAUGGAGCUUUACUGUAACCUGAUAUUGGGUUUCGGUAUUUUAUGUACAGGAUAGGUGGGAGACUAUGAAACUAAGGCGCCAGCCUUAGCGGAGUCGCCCUUGGGAUACCACUCUUAAAGUACUGAAAUUCUAACCUGCGGCCGUGAAUCCGGUCGGGGGACAUUGUCAGGCGGGCAGUUUGACUGGGGCGGUCGCCUCCAAAAGAGUAACGGAGGCGCUCAAAGGUUCGCUCAGCAUGGUCGGAAACCAUGCCUUAGAGUGUAAACGCAAAAGCGAGCCUAACUGCGAGGCUGACGGGCCGAGCAGUAACGAAAGUUGGAGUUAGUGAUCCGGCGGUAUGUGAAUGGAAAUGCCGUCGCUCAACGGAUAAAAGCUACCCUGGGGAUAACAGGCUGAUCUCCCCCAA